CCCGAAUCUCUUUCUGCCCUAAACCUCUCUCCCUUUAUCAGUGUUUUCCCAAUUUCGGCAGCACACAAAGAAAAUAUAACAGUUAGCAUAGGUGCUAUCAUUGACCCCAUGGAUUUCAGAGUAAGUGAAGCAUUGGUUUAGGUCGAUUACGAUUUCGCGAUUAUAACCAAGUUGGUAGACGAAACAAUUUCAUCCAAUGAAGAAGUAAUCAGCAACCUAGCUCAAGAUUAGGAGGUAUAUUGCAAGUGGAAUGGAGAUGGGGGUUGUUGUACACCAAGCUGAGCAAAAUCAGAAUUGGCUUCCAAAGAUUAACUAUGGUAAACCAGAAAUGCCUUGUCUAUAUCAUAUUUUAUCCGAACAAAAAUUCAAACAACUUUUUUUUAGUGCUCCAGUUAAAGAUCAAUUGUUUCGAAUUCUGUUGCAGUUUUACAGAAUGUUACUUAACAAGUAUCUUCCUUUACCGGUGUUUUACUAAUUUAAAAUUUUAUUUCAUGACUGAGAUGAUGAAUUCUGUAUCACACAAAAUUUUUAAGAAGUACCAUGGAUCACCUUUGUAUACACCGCCAGCUACCAGUACAAGUACGUGGGAACUUGCGAAAACAACAAUUCUCAGGAAUAUCGAGCAGUAUCCCGGUGCCUCCAAAGUUGCAUUCUGAUCAUGAGGUGUCAUAACGCUCUGAAAGAAGUUGCGGAAUUGCAACAAAUGGAAUCUCUCCAUGCAUGGAUAUUUGCUCUAUGUUAUCUGGAGAUCUCAAUUUGGACGAUUGCUCCUCAACUGCAAGGGCUGUGGGGUGAGGUCCAGUGGAAAAAAUGACGGAGCGUUUGAGGGAGACAUCUUCAGCUUCUUUAGAAGGGGUAUGCACUGUGAAAAUGGGUUGGUUCAGCUGAUGCUCCUUUAUUACAUCAUAUACAAGGUUUUACACUCGGGUGAGGGUCCAAUACAUGGUAUAACGUGGGGAACAAGCCUUAUUGCAUGGGAUAAUUUAUCCUGGGAUUAAAGUAUAUGACACAACAAAUGAUUAACACAUCACAUUUAUGGAGAGACAACAAGAACCCUACGUCUUGAGGUCUUGCUACCUCACCUAGAUUGGCAGGACGAUACUCUCUUGGUUAUUGGAUGGGGUACUACAUCAGUAAUGAUUGCUGCAAUAAGGGGGUGCACUUAAACAGGCAUCAAUGGUACACAAAGUAUGUGGUCUUCUCCAGUACGAAGCAGGUUGAUACUGUGGCAUCUUUAAAAACCAGUAAUUCCAUUUCAGGAAUCGCACCGGUGAUGCUUUGGUUGUCCUUGCUUAUAUUCAAAAAGAUUGGGAAAAGGAAUUUAGUAGCACCAGUCUAUCACGCCAGGUAACAGCUAUGUAGAUGGUCAGUGGGGUGCUAGCUGGGGAUGCACCGAUGUACUACGUUGUGUCUCCUAAGGAUGUCGUCAUUGCAAAGCCUAGCGAUGCGGAAGAUCUUAUUAGCUUGGCUUCUUCAACACGGGAAUCAGGUGGAAGCAUUGGCUGCGGUUGAGGCAGGUCAGAUACCGACAUAACUUCUUGAUGAGGAUGAGCUAAUUCCUUUAAAUAGCAUGAUGAAACAAAGGCUUAAGUGGUGUUCAGAAUUGUAUUUUUUUCCUUACUGUUGAUGAUCAGGUAUUCAGAUACGGUUGUAGAACACACUUGACUACAACAAAUACUUUUGGUGUAAAAGAUUCUGUGAAGUAUAUGGGUCCCAGUGAGAUCUUUGAAUUCGGGUUCAAUGACGAGGAUGCCAGGUUGUUGCCGCAAACUAUGCAACCAGAUUUUGCAGGCAAUUUACAGACUUCUGACUUCGCAAAAAUACACCAGAAUAUAUUUAACGGGGCAUAUGUUAAGAAAAGGUGUUGUGUUUGAUCAAUCCUAAGGAUUGGAUUAGGUGAUGUCGUUUCCAUUCAUCAGAGGCGAAUGUGAAAUAUGGAAGCAUGUCCAUGGAGUUGAAUCAAGAAGAAAAUUUAUCAUAAAGCAACCUGUUAGCUGGAUUUGCUUCAUUUUAAUUCGGUAAAUUACUUGCAAUUAAGCUGGGUUUGCUGAAAGAUAUGCCCAAUUUUCGAGAGAAUGCUUGCAUGAAGUUCACUCAGCAGCAUGUUAUUUUUCUCCUUCCGCAGGUCUAUUGCUCUAGAAUAUGAAUAACUUGCUCAAAAUGUUGAACCAUACGGGUGUCAUGAAACAUAGGGUACUGUUGAGUUUGAAAAUAUGUCGGAUGUUAAAUAUCGAGAUGCUUAUUGUCAGAACCCGAUGAGAUGCAGUCAUGUAUUGCAAUUGGUAAAUGCCUAAAGGAUUAUGGUCAUCAUGUUAACUCCAAGAAGUUUACCUUUAUUGCUGGAUUUCUAUCCUUUAGUUGGAGAUCCAAAAGUACUUGACAUAUGUAUGUAAUCUUUGCUAACAUCUACAGCAGUGCCCGUUUCUGAAUCAACAUCUUAAAUUUUUGAUGGGUACAUUACAUUUGAAUGUUUAAAAAAUAUUUUAGCGCCUGAGAAUAUCAACUGAUUAUGGAAUCUAUAUUAUUUGAAUCCAUGGUAGGUUGCGAGAGUAAGAGAUCCUUUGUAGUCAUUGGCUUUGAAUCUUUUAUUGGAUUUUGUAUAGGUUUUUUUUCUUCGUGAAUUAUCUUUCA